rnacentral:rRNA from 1 species
GCCUACAGCCAUGCCACUCUGAACACACCUGAUCCCAUCUGAUCUUGGAAGUUAAGCAAGGUCGGGUCUGAUUAGUACUUGGCUGGGAGACCACCUAGGAAGACUGGGCGCUGUAGGCG